CCCUUUUCUCUCCUCUCCUGAUGGCACAGCCUGUGAUGGAGCAGGUGUCUUGUUCUAUUCCUUCGGGCCCCAAACUCCUUUCCUGGUUAACAGUGUGACUGAAGGUCCUGUCCUUAGGGUCUGCCCCCCUCACCCCAGAGUCUCUAUGUUGUCCACUUUGGCAACUGCAGAUGUGGGCAAGUGGCUGUCUCUGGAGCCCAGGUCACAGCUGACACAGCUGCUCCCAUCAACCUCUGACUACUAAUUUCAGUGGUAUCCUCCUUGAUGCAAGCUCCUAGGUUCAGCACUAAGGUAAAGCUUCCAGUCCUGACCCUAGGUUCUGCCUUCUUGAAUAUAUUAUUUGUUCAGUAGGACUGAGGCCAGGGAAGUUAGAGACCUUCUUCCCUAGUUUUCACUGUUUAAUGGGGAAGAUGAUGUAGUGUAAGCUAUGUACAAAAGAGAUGAAGAUUAUCAACAUGGUGAAGCUAUGCAAAUUAUCAGGAAACUCUUCCUUUAGAAAUUGACAUUUUAAUUCAAUGGAGUCAUGGAAACCAAAAAGCAGAGAGACCAUAUUCUUGGAUUAUGGCAUCUAAUCCACUAUGUGAUUCUCUUCAAUUUUAUGGGCAAAAAGGAAGGAAUUUUGGAGGAGAGAAAUUAUAAGGCAUGCAAAAGGACAAGAAGCAAGACAAGAAGCUGGAGAUUGAUCAGCGGUCAAUCAAAGGAAAAUUCCAUUUGGAAUAUGACUGGGAAACAGUUGAAGGCAAAAGCCAAAGGUGACUGAUUUUUUGGGACUUGGCUGAAGGUCUUUGGGCUGAUGGUGGUGACCCUGAAGAAAGAAGCUGGGUUUAUCUCUGGGACUUGGGAUAAUCAAGUUGGGGGUGACCUGGCUGAUUUGAAGGCAGAAGAAGGACAAUAUUCCAUAUAUCUCUCUCUCUGACUUACUCUGUUUCAUGGUAGUGACUGAAUUGCCAUUUCUCUCAAUAUCCUCUAACCUAAGACUCCCUGUAGAUAAUAGGGAAAACCCCAACCCUCUUA
rnacentral:lncRNA from 1 species